GAGUCAUGUAAGCAUCUGUUUAUGGCAAAUUUUACAUGUAAUUUUUUUAUUUUAUAAUUGUUUAAAAAAAAAUACAUAAACUGGAUAAUGUACACAUAGUAUGAUUUGCUGGAAGAAUGUUUAAUUGUGAGAAAAUGUUGGGUUUUUUCACUAUACAGAGCUGCCAGAUUUAAUAGUGUUGACACACUGACAAUUCACUUUCCGUCCAGCUUUGGAGGAGAUAAUACCAAGAUCUACUACAUAGGACUUAAAGGCGACUUCCACGAAGUAAGCAGUCCAUUGUUACUUGUAAUUUGUUGAAAGAAUAAAUGCCUACUAGAAAUAGGUUUGUUUAUAGACUAGUAGUAAAUUGGUUAUAAUGGUAUGAAUGGUAUAGAUCCAUGAUUUGUAAACACCUUGUAGAAGAUGGGAGAGGGACCAGGAAUUGCUCUAUAUAUUUACCAUUUGCCUUCAAAUUAAAUUUUGCAUUGAAGACACUGGAAAAUACCCAGCAUAAAUGGUACUUUUAUCAUUUCCUGCAAAAAUGUCUUGUGUUUUAUUUUAGGCUCCUCGUCAGGAAGUUGUCAUAGCAACAUACGAAGCUAGACCAAUGCCAGAUGACCAUGACACUAAAUCAGACUUUGAAAAUUUCCACCACCCGAUCAGCUGAUGUACCGGUACUUGCCUUGGUGAUCCUUGUAUGCUUUCAUCUCAACUGUUGCUGCGUAGAUGGGAAGAUGUUUUUCAAAAAAAUUGAAUUUAUUGAAUUAGUUUGUCUCAGGCUAAAACAUAUCUUUUUGACAAGAGGCCACACGACUUAUGCAGAGACACAUGAGUGUUUAAAUGAAGUUUACUUUUUUUGUAUACAUGUAGUUGAUGAUGAGAUUAAAAGUGUAAAAUUG
rnacentral:misc_RNA from 1 species